AGGCAUUGAGGCAGCCAGCGCAGGGGCUUCUGCUGAGGGGGCAGGCGGAGCUUGAGGAAACCGCAGAUAAGUUUUUUUCUCUUUGAAAGAUAGAGAUUAAUACAACUACUUAAAAAAUAUAGUCAAUAGGUUACUAAGAUAUUGCUUAGCGUUAAGUUUUUAACGUAAUUUUAAUAGCUUAAGAUUUUAAGAGAAAAUAUGAAGACUUAGAAGAGUAGCAUGAGGAAGGAAAAGAUAAAAGGUUUCUAAAACAUGACGGAGGUUGAGAUGAAGCUUCUUCAUGGAGUAAAAAAUGUAUUUAAAAGAAAAUUGAGAGAAAGGACUACAGAGCCCCGAAUUAAUACCAAUAGAAGGGCAAUGCUUUUAGAUUAAAAUGAAGGUGACUUAAACAGCUUAAAGUUUAGUUUAAAAGUUGUAGGUGAUUAAAAUAAUUUGAAGGCGAUCUUUUAAAAAGAGAUUAAACCGAAGGUGAUUAAAAGACCUUGAAAUCCAUGACGCAGGGAGAAUUGCGUCAUUUAAAGCCUAGUUAACGCAUUUACUAAACGCAGACGAAAAUGGAAAGAUUAAUUGGGAGUGGUAGGAUGAAACAAUUUGGAGAAGAUAGAAGUUUGAAGUGGAAAACUGGAAGACAGAAGUACGGGAAGGCGAAGAAAAGAAUAGAGAAGAUAGGGAAAUUAGAAGAUAAAAACAUACUUUUAGAAGAAAAAAGAUAAAUUUAAACCUGAAAAGUAGGAAGCAGAAGAAAAAAGACAAGCUAGGAAACAAAAAGCUAAGGGCAAAAUGUACAAACUUAGAAGAAAAUUGGAAGAUAGAAACAAGAUAGAAAAUGAAAAUAUUGUCAAGAGUUUCAGAUAGAAAAUGAAAAACAAGCUAAGACAAGUAUUGGAGAAGUAUAGAAGAUAGAAAAAUAUAAAGCCAAAAAUUGGAUAAAAUAGCACUGAAAAAAUGAGGAAAUUAUUGGUAACCAAUUUAUUUUAAAAGCCCAUCAAUUUAAUUUCUGGUGGUGCAGAAGUUAGAAGGUAAAGCUUGAGAAGAUGAGGGUGUUUACGUAGACCAGAACCAAUUUAGAAGAAUACUUGAAGCUAGAAGGGGAAGUUGGUUAAAAAUCACAUCAAAAAGCUACUAAAAGGACUGGUGUAAUUUAAAAAAAACUAAGGCAGAAGGCUUUUGGAAGAGUUAGAAGAAUUUGGAAGGCCUUAAAUAUAGUAGCUUAGUUUGAAAAAUGUGAAGGACUUUCGUAACGGAAGUAAUUCAAGAUCAAGAGUAAUUACCAACUUAAUGUUUUUGCAUUGGACUUUGAGUUAAGAUUAUUUUUUAAAUCCUGAGGACUAGCAUUAAUUGACAGCUGACCCAGGUGCUACACAGAAGUGGAUUCAGUGAAUCUAGGAAGACAGCAGCAGACAGGAUUCCAGGAACCAGUGUUUGAUGAAGCUAGGACUGAGGAGCAAGCGAGCAAGCAGCAGUUCGUGGUGAAGAUAGGAAAAGAGUCCAGGAGCCAGUGCGAUUUGGUGAAGGAAGCUAGGAAGAAGGAAGGAGCGCUAACGAUUUGGUGGUGAAGCUAGGAAAAAGGAUUCCAGGAAGGAGCGAGUGCAAUUUGGUGAUGAAGGUAGCAGGCGGCUUGGCUUGGCAACCACACGGAGGAGGCGAGCAGGCGUUGUGCGUAGAGGAUCCUAGACCAGCAUGCCAGUGUGCCAAGGCCACAGGGAAAGCGAGUGGUUGGUAAAAAUCCGUGAGGUCGGCAAUAUGUUGUUUUUCUGGAACUUACUUAUGAAACUUUGUCUGCGAACACUCUUUAAUGGACCAGAUCAGGAUUUGAGCGGAAGAACGAAUGUAACUUUAAGAGGCAUUUCAUCCUUCAUGAAGCCAUUCAGGAUUUUGAAUUGCAUAUGAGUGCUUGGCUCUUCCUUCUGUUCUAACUUCACAGAGAAUGCAGUUGUCUUGACUUCAGGUCUGUCUGUUCUGUUGGCAAGUAAAUGCAGUACUGUUCUGAUCCCGCUGCUAUUAGAAUGCAUUGUGAAACGACUGGAGUAUGAUUAAAAGUUGUGUUCCCCAA
ensembl:lncRNA MALAT1 metastasis associated lung adenocarcinoma transcript 1